UACGGAGGGAGCUAGCGUUGUUCGGAAAUACUGGGCGUAAAGCGUGCGCAGGCGGUUUUUUAAGCCAGAUGUGAAAGCCCCGGGCUCAACCUGGGAAUGGCAUUUGGGACUGCAAGGCUGGAGUUUGGCAGAGGAGACUGGAAUUCCUGGUGUAGCAGUGAAAUGCGUAGAUAUCAGGAGGAAUACCGAUGGCGAAGGCAGGUCUCUGGGCUAUAACUGACGCUCAUGCACGAAAGCGUGGGGAGCGAACAGG
rnacentral:rRNA from 1 species